UACGUAGGGUGCAAGCGUUAAUCGGAAUUACUGGGCGUAAAGCGUGCGCAGGCGGUUGUGCAAGACAGAUGUGAAAUCCCCGGGCUCAACCUGGGAAUUGCAUUGGAGACUGCAAGGCUAGAAUCUGGCAGAGGGGGGUAGAAUUCCACGUGUAGCAGUGAAAUGCGUAGAGAUGUGGAGGAACACCGAUGGCGAAGGCAGCCCCCUGGGUCAAGAUUGACGCUCAUGCACGAAAGCGUGGGGAGCAAACAGG
rnacentral:rRNA from 1 species